rnacentral:rRNA from 2 species
GGACUACAGGGGUUUCUAAUCCUGUUUGAUCCCCACGCUUUCGUGCCUCAGCGUCAAUCUACCCGUAGUCAGCUGCCUUCGCAAUAGGUGUUCUAUGUCAUAUCUAAGCAUUUCACCGCUACAUGACAUAUUCCGCUAACCUCCAGGAAAUUCAAGACAAAUAGUAUCAAUGGCAGUUCUGGAGUUAAGCUCCAGGAUUUCACCACUGACUUAAUUGCCCGCCUACGCACCCUUUAAACCCAGUGAAUCCGGAUAACGCUUGCACCCUCCGUAUUACCGCGGCGGCUGGCAC